UUGGAUUAGCUAGUUGGUGGGGUAAAGGCCUACCAAGGCGACGAUCCAUAGCUGGUCUGAGAGGAUGAUCAGCCACACUGGGACUGAGACACGGCCCAGACUCCUACGGGAGGCAGCAGUGGGGAAUAUUGGACAAUGGGCGCAAGCCUGAUCCAGCCAUGCCGCGUGAGUGAUGACGGCCUUAGGGUUGUAAAGCUCUUUCAACGGUGAAGAUAAUGACGGUAACCGUAGAAGAAGCCCCGGCUAACUUCGUGCCAGCAGCCGCGGUAAUACGAAGGGGGCUAGCGUUGUUCGGAAUUACUGGGCGUAAAGCGCACGUAGGCGGAUACUUAAGUCAGGGGUGAAAUCCCGGGGCUCAACCCCGGAACUGCCUUUGAUACUGGGUAUCUAGAGUAUGGUAGAGGUGAGUGGAAUUCCGAGUGUAGAGGUGAAAUUCGUAGAUAUUCGGAGGAACACCAGUGGCGAAGGCGGCUCACUGGACCAUUACUGAC
rnacentral:rRNA from 1 species